GAUGAACGCUGGCGGCGUGCCUAAUACAUGCAAGUAGAACGCUGAAGGAGGAGCUUGCUCUUCUGGAUGAGUUGCGAACGGGUGAGUAACGCGUAGGUAACCUGCCUGGUAGCGGGGGAUAACUAUUGGAAACGAUAGCUAAUACCGCAUGACAACAGUUAUUGCAUGAUAACUGUUUGAAAGGGGCAACUGCUCCACUACCAGAUGGACCUGCGUUGUAUUAGCUAGUUGGUGAGGUAACGGCUCACCAAGGCGACGAUACAUAGCCGACCUGAGAGGGUGAUCGGCCACACUGGGACUGAGACACGGCCCAGACUCCUACGGGAGGCAGCAGUAGGGAAUCUUCGGCAAUGGACGGAAGGCUGACCGAGCAACGCCGCGUGAGUGAAGAAGGUUUUCGGAUCGUAAAGCUCUGUUGUAAGAGAAGAACGAGUGUGAGGGUGGAAAGUUCACACUGUGACGGUAUCUUACCAGAAAGGGACGGCUAACUACGUG
rnacentral:rRNA from 1 species